CUGUAAAAUAUUCAGUGGCAAGGCUGAGAGAGCACAAGACAUGCGGGUCAGCACUCCUGCAUCUUCUGCCUUUCUUUCUCCCACAGUCCCAGGCUUCUUGGGGCUGCAAGUCCAUUUUUAAUGCUUGAGCCGACCGUGUUCUGUGUGGUGAUUAAGACCAGACUUUGGAUUUUAACAUGGAGGUUCCACCCCGGUGGAGAGAGUGAAAAAAAAGUUAGAGUUGCCAUGGAAACCAAUGGAUUUGAAGUGCUUAGUACACUGCAUCGGUACAGAUGGAGUUCAAGAAAUGGUAUUUAUUAUUAAGAUUAGCUACAAAUUUUCCUCAGACUAUCUUCAAAAGUUUUUCAGGGGAAGCAGCACAGGAUAUGGCCAAGUGUCCAGCACAGUGUAGUUGCUCAACACAUGUACAGUCAUAUCUUGGCACUGGACGGCUUUGAAACUCUUUGGUUUUUUUUCCUUAAAUUUUUUUAUUGGUACAUUUUAGAGUGAAUUGAGAUUCUCUUGGUGUGUUCAUCCUCCUGAAACAGGUUUUCUACAUCUUCAUGGAGGAAGGUGUUAGUUCUUAAGCACCAACCUCUGAAGAGUGAUCCCUAAACUUUGGCUGGUAGAUGAUCACUGAGCAUUUCUGACUCGAUGGAGCAAAGGAGCUGGGGUUCUUGAAAAUACCAGAUGCCUGGGCAGUGUUUGCAUGUAUUGGUUUGGCUGGCUUGUGACUACUCAGAUAACCAAGGGGUGAAUAUUACUGAGCAUAAUGUAGGUAGAAUUGAUGGCCUUGCAUGCUGACCUCAGAACACUGAUCUUUAGGAACUGUGAUGAAGGAAGCCCUAAACCCUGGAUGGGACAGGUUAUGGGCAACUUAAGCACAGUGAAGGCCAGAGGGCCAAUCCCCAAAUGUUGGGGACUAGAAAGUGUGAUGGGUUAUUUGUCAACAGGAGAGCGGAUAGGGGACCCCAGGGUAAUUAAUGACUGCUAUUGGGCUUCCUGGCACUCUGUCAUUGGGAAUCACAGGUAGUUUUUACUCGAUUUAGACAAAUGAAACGAUGCAGCAUUUCUUGGGAGCCAGUGUGGAAUAAAUUCUCACUGAGUACAUUGAUAAGCAACAAGUAUGGUCAGGCUUCAUCUGUAGUAUAUGACGAAUGAGAGUCGAAAUUGUUCUCAUUCCCUCUGGGUGAAAGGCAGAGUCUGAGACACACAAUUUAUUAAUUAUAGAGUGUGAAUCCUGGAGUCAAGGCAAGAGCAGAGUUGUUGGUUCCUUCAGACCAUCUUGGGCCCGGAAGGCAAGUUACUAAACCCUUCUGACGGUGUUUCUUUACCUGUAAAGUACAGAUAGGAGGAGAAUCUCUCACAGAGUGUUGUUGGUCAUAAGAGGUAAAUGAUAGAAUCAUAUCUGGCUUGCAUAAUCAAUCAAUUGGUAGCUGUUAUUACUAAUAGUAUUAUGAUUGCAUGGCAGCUGUUGAAGGAAGCUUUGGCUUCCCUAACAUAGUUGCUGAAGAUCAGUAGGGGGAGGUCAGUAUGCGGGGCCAUAAGCUUUCCCACAUUAUUCUCAGCCAUGUUCACCACAGAGCGAUCUGGGGUGCUUAAGGGCCAAUUAUAUGUUGGCUUAAAAACAUCUUUUGACAAUGGCUAUGCAAUUUCAUGGAGAUGCUCUGAACAUAAGGAGCUCUGCCAUGUUGGGAAACAGCCAAGGAAAAGUUAAGGAGAUAGGACAUUUGGGGAAAAUUUGAAGACAACUGUUUUUCUUUGGAGGUAGUAGAGAACAUAAAGGGGAGUUAAAAUUUUGGAAGAAUGGAAAUAUUGGAACUUCAUUUAUAAUCCUCUUUAGGGACCUAAAUACAUUUUAUUCUUUUAGAAAAAUAAAUAAUUUGUCAUAAAUUGUUCUGUUUAUUUUUUCCCUUUGGAGAUCCAAAGUACUGGCAGUGGAUAAGGACAGAAACCACUAAACAUUUAGAGCAGUGUUUUCUUUACUGUUUUCCUGUUUUCUUGAGAGGUUAAAACAAAGCAGAACAAAAAUCUUGUUUAGAAACAUCUCUUAGCACAUUUGGUUUUUGGGGGCCCUUAAUCCUGGAGCCCACACAGGAUCAUU